UUUCCAUGUGCAUAGUUAUAAAUUUUCUAAUCAAUCUCGAUGUAACCAUUUAACACUUUUCUUCCUAAACAUCUUUUCAUAAGGCAGGUGUGAUUUUAUUCCUCUACUGCUGGAAAAACCAUCAAAUGCUGUAUCCACAAAAUAAGAUGUAUUUCUGGGUGAAGGUCACAAGUAAUUAAGCCUCCAAGGCACUAUCUUAUAUUGAAUUUUGGCAGCCAAAAAGGCAACAUUCAUUAUCUUUUACACAUCUCCCUUGGAAGCAAUUGAUGCUCAUUCCAUCUGAGCUGUUACAGUCUCUGGCAGGAAUGGGCUGUCGGGAGUGUUCCAGAGGUACAGGCCUUCUGUGACACACUGGAGAGUAGAUUCUUCUCGUUGUGCUUCCAAGAGAUUUUAGAAUUCUGCAUCCUGGCAUUGCCCCUCUGACAAGUGUCCCAUUGCACUGCUGGAGGAUGUUUGGUGCUACUGAGAUGUUCUUCGAGGUGGAGCAGUUACCUUGCAACUCAAAAGGUGCUCAUGCACUGCUGCAUUUCUCAUAUAAACAGUGUGCUGGGUACUGGCACUUUUUACAAGCUGAGUGGCAUAGCUGCAGAACAUUCCUUUGUGUUCAACUGCCAAGACAGAAAUUUCAAAGUAAAUGAAAACACACUUGCUGCUAUCAUUUAAUACACAUUUUGGCAGCCUCAGCAAGAUCAGAAAGUUUGUUUGGAAGUUCAGAUUCACGGCACAGUUCAAAACUGAAUGCAUUAAUGGACGUAAAGGUUUGAAAUGUGACCUUGUCAAUAAAAAUCAGCAGUGUA